ACGAAGCUGUAGGGUAACCUGCAGCUUAGUGGCGGAAGGGUUAGUAAUACAUGAAUAACUUGCCUCUAACCUGGGGAUAACGGCUGGAAACGGCCGCUAAUACCGAAUGAGGUGCUGUACUUAAUGUACGGUCAUCAAAGUGGGGGAUCGGGAAACCGACCUUGCGGUUAGAGAGAGGUUCAUGCGAUAUCAGCUAGUUGGUGUGGUAAUGGCGCACCAAGG
rnacentral:rRNA from 1 species